GGCGAGCGCCGUAUUUUGUUUUUAUCCCCCCUUCCUUUUAUUUUUUCGUCCCCUUCCUUUUAUUUUUUUGCCCCCUCCCCGGAGUCCUGCCUCGCUGCCUCCACACGCAGCAGCUGCCAGGCCCGGCGGGUCCCAGCCCUCAGGCCACAGUUCGGUGCCCGAGUGCCCCGCACACAGCGUCGUGGUUGGAAACCUCCGUCUGGUUUUGCUGAAGGACCGGUGGCAGCGCGUCGCCAGCUGUGUGUGAAUCCCCAAAACUGCUUUGCGUAACAGUUUUAUUUUCACAGAGUAAUCGUCCCUGGUAGCUGGGUUUUCAAAACGUUUGGCAAUCAGUUCUUCAUACCUACGCUGGGUUGCAAACUGGGUUUUUCAGGGCGUUCCUGGCCUGGAGGCCGCAGAUGAGUGCCCCUCGCAGGGCCUUGGCCAUCAGGAGUUAGGAUAAAUGGUGAAGAGAAGGUGGGGGAAAGCAGCUUUCUUCAGCGUGUUCAGAAAGGUCAUCAAAAAAACCAGCACCCCAGUGUUUUUUAAAAAGCUCUUCCUUCUACUUUAAUUAAAAUAAUUAGAAGAUUCAGAUCAUUUUGGUAUUGGAUUUUCCUAAAUACAUUUAUAUUUAAAUUUACAUUUAACGCCUCCUAGCUCUUUGAAGAAUAACCACCAGCCAAGCCUCUGAUGCAUUGCCACUGCAAGAAGAUACUUGCGCCCAAGAGUAUUUUCAAUAUUCAUCAGCAAUACGUUUAUAAAGAGAGAGCUCCUUGCAAAAAUGUAAAUACAGAAGGAAAUAAAUUUGAAGAAGAAAUCCUUUGCAUUUGCAGCUCCAGACUUAAAUCAAUCCACUUUUCAAUUCGACUUUACAGAUAUCGUUGACUGUUUCAGUGCCCUACUGAAGGCUGUGCCAGAGGGGAGCGUGGUUGGUCCCAGCCUCAACCCAGCAGACGCCAUUUCAGGAGGACAAAACCUCUCCUGCGGAACCUGCCCUGAGCCAUCUCUGCUGGUCUGCAGCAGCUGCCUACCUCAGACACCGGCCCCAGCGAGCCUAGAUGGCAUGCAGUGAGUUAAACAUUUUUUUCCAUGGGUGCUGUGCAGGCCAGGCAGUGCCCUGCAGCGAGGAAGAGGGUAGUUAUGGUGAAACAGAUAAAGGUGAAACCACAUAACUUUGACUAGGCUGUUGAAGUGGAAUUAGUGCUUUUAUUUUGGAGGUUGGUUGUGUUCAAGUUGCUAGUGUACUUUUGUAUUAUAGAUUAUUUUUUUUCUGUUAGAAAACGCAAGGAAGGUUUCCUUAAAAAAAAAAAAAGUGGAAAAUAGAAUGACUUAUAUAAAAACUUCCA